rnacentral:rRNA from 1 species
GCAGGUCGAGCGGCAGCGGAAGUAGCUUGCUACUUUGCCGGCGAGCGGCGGACGGGUGAGUAAUGUCUGGGAAACUGCCUGAUGGAGGGGGAUAACUACUGGAAACGGUAGCUAAUACCGCAUGACCUCGAAAGAGCAAAGUGGGGGAUCUUCGGACCUCACGCCAUCGGAUGUGCCCAGAUGGGAUUAGCUAGUAGGUGAGGUAAUGGCUCACCUAGGCGACGAUCCCUAGCUGGUCUGAGAGGAUGACCAGCCACACUGGAACUGAGACACGGUCCAGACUCCUACGGGAGGCAGCAGUA